AAACCAUGUUGUGGACAUUGCCUCAAAAGAUCUAGGUACCUUUCCCAAGGUUUGUAUAAUGUUUCCCCAUCUUGUUGAGUGAAAGAAGCUAUGUCAUGUCAAAGUUU